rnacentral:rRNA from 1 species
UGAGGAACAUGACCUUCGGCGGGGGAUAACCGGCCCAACGGCCGGGUAAUACCGCGUACGACCACAUGGGGACAUCCCUGAGUGGUGAAAGCAGCAAUGCGCCGAUGGAGUGCCUCGCGGCCUACCAGCUAGUUGGUGAGGUAACGGCUCACCAAGGCAACGACGGGUAGCUGGUCUGAGAGGAUGGCCAGCCACAUUGGGACUGAGACACGGCCCAGACUCCUACGGGAGCAG